GACGAACGCUGGCGGCGUGCUUAACACAUGCAAGUCGAGCGGUAAGGCCCUUUCGGGGGUACACGAGCGGCGAACGGGUGAGUAACACGUGGGUGACCUGCCCUUAGCUCUGGGAUAAGCCUGGGAAACUGGGUCUAAUACCGGAUAUGACUCCAUGACGCAUGUUGUGGGGUGGAAAGCCUUGUGCGGCUAGGGAUGGGCCCGCGGCCUAUCAGCUUGUUGGUGGGGUGAUGGCCACCAAGGCGACGACGGGUAGCCGGCCUGAGAGGGCGACCGGCCACACUGGGACUGAGACACGGCCCAGACUCCUACGGGAGGCAGCAGUGGGGAAUCUUGCGCAAUGGGCGAAAGCCUGACGCGGCGACGCCGCGUGAGGGAUGACGGCCUCGG
rnacentral:rRNA from 1 species